rnacentral:rRNA from 1 species
UACGGAGGGUGCAAGCGUUAUCCGGAUUCACUGGGUUUAAAGGGUGUGUAGGUGGGCUGGUAAGUCAGAGGUGAAAUCUCCAGGCUUAACUUGGAAACUGCCAUUGAUACUAUCAGUCUUGAAUACCGUGGAGGUCAGCGGAAUAUGUCAUGUAGCGGUGAAAUGCUUAGAUAUGACAUAGAACACCAAUUGCGAAGGCAGCUGGCUACACGAAUAUUGACACUGAUGCACGAAAGCGUGAGGAUCAAACAGG